UACGAAGGGGGCUAGCGUUGCUCGGAAUCACUGGGCGUAAAGGGUGCGUAGGCGGGUCUUUAAGUCAGGGGUGAAAUCCUGGAGCUCAACUCCAGAACUGCCUUUGAUACUGAAGAUCUUGAGUUCGGGAGAGGGGAGUGGAACUGCGAGUGUAGAGGUGAAAUUCGUAGAUAUUCGCAAGAACACCAGUGGCGAAGGCGGCUCACUGGCCCGAUACUGACGCUGAGGCACGAAAGCGUGGGGAGCAAACAGG
rnacentral:rRNA from 1 species